rnacentral:rRNA from 1 species
AGGACUAACGCUGGCGGCGUGCCUAACACAUGCAAGUCGAACGAGGUAGCAAUACCUAGUGGCAGACGGGUGAGUAACACGUAGUCAACCUUCCCGAUAGUGGGGGAUAACUAGCCGAAAGGUUAGCUAAUACCGCAUACGAUCUUCGAGUGGCAUCAUUUGAAGAUGAAAGGAGCAAUCCGCUUUCGGACGGGACUGCGUCCCAUUAGCUAGAUGGUGGGGUAAUGGCCUACCAUGGCAACGAUGGGUAGCUGGUUUGAGAGAGCGACCAGCCACACUGGGACUGAGAAACGGCCCAGACUCCUACGGGAGGCAGCAGUGAGGAAUUUUCCGCAAUGGGCGAAAGCCUGACGGAGCGACGCCGCGUGUGGGAAGAAGGCCUUCGGGUCGUAAACCACUGUCGAAGGGGAAAAUACUGAUGGUACCCUUGGAGGAAGCCCGGCUAACUACGCGCCAGCAGCCGC